CCCAUUCAGUUCUGCAAAGGUGUAGGCUU
rnacentral:piRNA from 1 species